GUGGGAUUAGCUCAGCUGGUUAGAGCGUCUGAUUGUGGUCCAGAAGGUCGUCGGUUCGAUCCCGAUAUCCCACCCCA
rnacentral:tRNA from 1 species